rnacentral:rRNA from 1 species
CCUACGGGUGGCAGCAGUGAGGAAUAUUGGUCAAUGGGCGCGGGCCUGAACCAGCCAAGUCGCGUGAAGGAUGACUGUCCUACGGGUUGUAAACUUCUUUUAUAAAGGAAUAAAGUGAGGCACGUGUGCCUUUUUGUAUGUAUUUUAUGAAUAAGGAUCGGCUAACUCCGUGCCAGCAGCCGCGGUAAUACGGAGGAUGCGAGCGUUAUCAGGAUUUAUUGGGUUUAAAGGGAGCGUAGAUGGGUUGUUAAGUCAGUUGUGAAAGUUUGCGGCUCAACCGUAAAAGUGCAAUUGAUACUGGCAGCCUUGAGUAAAGUUGAGGUAGGCGGAAUUCGUGGUGUAGCGGUGAAAUGCUUAGAUAUCACGAAGAACUCCGAUUGCGAAGGCAGCCUACUAACCUGCCACUGACAUUGAUGCUCGAAAGUGUGGGUAUCAAACAGGAUUAGAUACCCGGGUAGUC